rnacentral:lncRNA from 1 species
UGGGGGGGACCCUUAAAAAAAUAUGAGUUUUGUUAACAACAUGCUUGAUUCUUUAAAAUUGAAGUUUUCAAAUCCUCCAAGUAUACAAGCUGAAGUCUUCAAAUUCUUUAAGUCUGCAAGAUGAAGUCUUCAAAUUCUUUAAGUCUGCAAGUUGAAGUCUUCAAAUUUUUCAAGUUUGCAAGUUGAAGUCUUCAAAUUCUUCAAGU